rnacentral:rRNA from 1 species
UACGUAGGGUGCAAGCGUUGUCCGGAAUUAUUGGGCGUAAAGAGCUCGUAGGCGGUCUGUCGCGUCUGCUGUGAAAACUCAGGGCUUAACCUGAGCUUGCGGUGGGUACGGCAGACUAGAGUGUGGUAGGGGAGACUGGAAUUCCUGGUGUAGCGGUGAAAUGCGCAGAUAUCAGGAGGAACACCGAUGGCGAAGGCAGGUCUCUGGGCCACUACUGACGCUGAGAAGCGAAAGCGUGGGGAUCAAACAGG